AUCCUCAGCGGCACAUGGUGCAUUCUGGAAGCCAACCACAGCUAAGUGAGUACACCUCUCACAACAAUGCACCCCUGGAUCCCUUCCAAUUGCUUCCCACCUCUGAUAAACCGGUCACUGAGGACUCUCU